rnacentral:rRNA from 1 species
CAAUAGCGUAUAUUAAAGUUGUUGCGGUAAAAAGCUCGUAGUUGGAUUUCUGUUGAGAACGACCGGUCCACACAACGUGUGCGCAUCUGGUUCGGUCUCGGCAUCCUCUCGAAAGACGACUCUGCGCUUGAUUGCGUGGAUCGGAUUCCGGGACUUUUACUUUGAGGAAAUUAGAGUGUUCACGGCAGGCUAUCGCCAGGAUACAUUAGCAUGGAAUAAUACUAUAGGAUCUUGAUCCUAUUUUGUUGGUUUCUAGGAGCAAGAUAAUGAUUAAUAGGGACAAUUGGGGGCAUUCGUAUCAACACGUCAGAGGUGGAAUUCUUGGAUUGUGUUGCGACGAACUACUGCGAAAGCAUUUGCCAAGGAUGUUUUCAUUGAUCAAGAACGAAAGUUAGGGGAUCGAAGACGAUUAGAUACCAU